GAAUUCACUAGUGAUUCAGGCCUAACACAUGCAAGUCGAACGAUGAAGCCCAGCUUGCUGGGUGGAUUAGUGGCGAACGGGUGAGUAACACGUGAGCAACCUGCCCCUGACUCUGGGAUAAGCGCUGGAAACGGCGUCUAAUACUGGAUAUGUCCCGUCACCGCAUGGUGUGCGGGUGGAAAGAUUUUUCGGUUGGGGAUGGGCUCGCGGCCUAUCAGCUUGUUGGUGAGGUAAUGGCUCACCAAGGCGUCGACGGGUAGCCGGCCUGAGAGGGUGACCGGCCACACUGGGACUGAGACACGGCCCAGACUCCUACGGGAGGCAGCAGUGGGGAAUAUUGCACAAUGGGCGGAAGCCUGAUGCAGCAACGCCGCGUGAGGGAUGACAGCGUUCGGGUUGUAAACCUCUUUUAGCAGGGAAGAAGCGAGAGUGACGGUACCGCAGAAAAAA
rnacentral:rRNA from 1 species